ensembl:lncRNA
CAUUUGCACUCCUAAGCUCCUCUGCUAUUAAAAUUUCUCAAAUUUUGCCUGAAGAGCUUGCUGAAGUCUCCCGUCUUCAGCACUGUGUUCUUAGAUAUCUGGAAAUCAGAGCAAAGAGUUGGCAGAAGUCUUUGCUAUAACAGCAGAUAAUACUGUAAAGGAUAAAAUAAAAGGCCAAGAAGAGGAAAGAAUGAAAACUAUGAAAAUACAAGACCACAAGGAUGUUGGAUGUUCAAGGUUUUCUGAAGCAGUGUUGUAUUUCUUAACUGUAAUGAAAAAAUCCUGAAGUGCAAUUCCUCCCUUUUUUCCUCUUUGUCCCAAGAUGACCCUCUACCAUUUCCAGUGACAAUACCAAUCAUCUCAGCUUGUGCUUUUUGCUAUUAGACCUUGACCUGAAGUAAAGAUGAAGACAUUUGAGACAUUUUG